rnacentral:rRNA from 1 species
CGGCAACAGCUCAAAUUUGAAAUCUGGUCCUUUUGGGGCCCGAGUUGUAAUUUGUAGAGGGUGUUUCGGCGUCGGCCUUGGUCUAAGUUCCUGGAAUGGAAUGUCAUAGAGGGUGAGAAUCCCGUCUUGGACCGGCGUAGGGCCCGUGUAAAACUCCUUCGAC